rnacentral:rRNA from 1 species
AUUGAAAGCUGGCGGCAGGCCUAACACAUGCAAGUCGAACGAGUGGCGGACGGGUGAGUAAUGUCUGGGAAACUGCCCGAUGGAGGGGGAUAACUACUGGAAACGGUCGCUAAUAGCGCAUACCAUCGGAUGUGCCCAGAUGGGAUUAGCUAGUAGGUGGGGUAACGGCUCACCUAGGCGACGAUCACUAGCUGGUAUGAGAGGAUGACCAGCCACACUGGACCUGAGACACGGUCCAGACUCCGACGGGAGGCAGCAGUGGGGAAGAUUGCACAAUGGGCGCAAUCCUGAUGCAGCCAUGCCGCGUGUAUGAAGAAGGCCUUCGUGUUGUAAAGUACUUUCAGCGGGGAGGCGUUACCCGCAGAAGAAGCACCGGCUAACUCCGUGCCAGCAGCCGCGGUAAUAC